UUUUAUUUGCUUCCCACUAACAAAUCUUUAUUUCAUUCAUGAAAGCAGUAAAUCAUCCACAUUCACCUUCCUUGCCCAGUAAUUCAAAAGGAAAAACCCAAAAAGAUUAGUAACGAAAAAUGUAGGAAUUGACAUCCCCUAAAUUUUUAAAAAAUAUGUUUAAGGUUGAAAAAUGUUUUAAGUUUGUAAUUCCUAAUAGGAAAACAUUAUCUGAAUGAACACUCUAAUGGCAAACCACUGUAAUAUGCCUCAGCCGCAUAUGAUGCAGAGGGUAGGGAUUAUCUUCGAAGCGCCCCAGCUCUCUGGUGACCUCUGGUCAGAGGUACACUGGUUUGUAUUAUUGCAACAUCCAGUAAGUGAGCUAAGCUGUUCUUCAUUCAGCAAGGGCUUUGACAUUAUGAGUGACCUCCAAACUUGGCUGACAAUUUACUGAUGAGAUUCAUAACCUUUGGGUUGUUCUGAUAUUUUGACAUAUUUGAUGGGUUCUGGGCCACAUCCUGGAAAGCCACCAUGACUUCUGGAUCCUGCAUGGCUGCAAAACCUCUGGGUCACUGAGGAUUUCAUUGAGUCCAGGCAUUCCUGCCAUUCCUGGCAUGGCCCCUCCCAUUCCAGGCAUUCCUCCAGGAAAAUUACCAGGCAUUCCCCCAGGAAAACCACCUGGAAAAGAGCCAAACUGAGAUCCAGAUUGUCUUCUGGCUUCUUCUUCCCUUUGGGCUUUUUCAUGAUCUUCUCGAGCCUUCUUCACCCUUUCUAUUCGUUCUUUUAUCUCUCGCUCUUCACGUUUUCGCUCAUACUUUCUCCGAUGUUCAGCAAUUUUUUGAGCCCGAGGCUGGACUUCUCUCAGCAUUGCACUGGCGUCCUCAUCAUAGUCCAAUUUACAGGCCAGGGCAAGAUCGCAAGCUGCUUCUUCCCAGUGACCCAGGAGUCUGUGCGCUUUCCCUCUCCAUUUCAUUUGGCUUCUGUAAUUUGACGAAAACACUGGCUCUCUUGGCAUACAGAAUGGCCAAGCGAGGGUUUAGCUUGAUGGCGUCUGUGAACAAGUCAAUGGCUUUCUGGAGCUCACCAUCAUUUAGAGCGUCGAUGGCAGCCCCCUUCUUUUCAUUUGCUUUAUCCAUCAUCGCCUCAGUUAUCUCUGCAUUUUCAUCUCCCAUUUCCUGAGGAGCAUCAGUGUCUGCUUCAAUUACACCUUCAUUGUCAAUUUCUAGAUCGCUCUCCUCACUCGAUGGCUCCUCUGUCUUUAUGUUGUCCUCUGUCGUCUUGUCUCUUUUUUCUUCCUUAGUGUUUUCUUCUGACUUCGCUUUAUGAGUAGCAGGUGGUACUUUACCCCCCAUGCUCUCCACCCACUCCCUCAGGAAACGCAUUUCCUCGGUGUGCAGGACGCUCGGGUCCUGCCUACACAUCUUCACGAAGGCCCGAAGCUCGCUCACUUUGCGGGGAUCCAUAGUGGUGAGGCUGGAAGCUUCUGGCGGUGGGCGGCUGCAGAGGCCCGAUGCCAAGCCCGGGAGCGGCUC
rnacentral:lncRNA from 1 species